rnacentral:rRNA from 1 species
GGUUAAGCGACUAAGCGUACACGGUGGAUGCCCUGGCAGUCAGAGGCGAUGAAGGACGUGCUAAUCUGCGAUAAGCGCCGGUAAGGUGAUAUGAACCGUUAUAACCGGCGAUUUCCGAAUGGGGAAACCCAGUGUGACUCGUCACACUAUCAUUAACUGAAUCCAUAGGUUAAUGAGGCGAACCGGGGGAACUGAAACAUCUAAGUACCCCGAGGAAAAGAAAUCAACCGAGAUUCCCCCAGUAGCGGCGAGCGAACGGGGAGGAGCCCAGAGCCUGAAUCAGCAUGUGUGUUAGUGGAAGCGUCUGGAAAGGCGCGCGAUACAGGGUGACAGCCCCGUACACAAAAGCGCAUGUGCUGUGAGCUCGAUGAGUAGGGCGGGACACGUGGUAUCCUGUCUGAAUAUGGGGGGACCAUCCUCCAAGGCUAAAUACUCCUGACUGACCGAUAGUGAACCAGUACCGUGAGGGAAAGGCGAAAAGAACCCCGGCGAGGGGAGUGAAAAAGAACCUGAAACCGUGUACGUACAAGCAGUGGGAGCACCCUUUGGGGUGUGACUGCGUACCUUUUGUAUAAUGGGUCAGCGACUUAUAUUCUGUAGCAAGGUUAACCGUAUAGGGGAGCCGGAGGGAAACCGAGUCUUAACCGGGCGUUAAGUUGCAGGGUAUAGACCCGAAACCCGGUGAUCUAGCCAUGGGCAGGUUGAAGGUUGGGUAACACUAACUGGAGGACCGAACCGACUAAUGUUGAAAAAUUAGCGGAUGACCUGUGGCUGGGGGUGAAAGGCCAAUCAAACCGGGAGAUAGCUGGUUCUCCCCGAAAGCUAUUUAGGUAGCGCCUCGUGAAUUCAUCUCCGGGGGUAGAGCACUGUUUCGGCUAGGGGGCCAUCCCGGCUUACCAACCCGAUGCAAACUGCGAAUACCGGAGAAUGUUAUCACGGGAGACACACGGCGGGUGCUAACGUCCGUCGUGAAGAGGGAAACAACCCAGACCGCCAGCUAAGGUCCCAAAGUCAUGGUUAAGUGGGAAACGAUGUGGGAAGGCCCAGACAGCCAGGAUGUUGGCUUAGAAGCAGCCAUCAUUUAAAGAAAGCGUAAUAGCUCACUGGUCGAGUCGGCCUGCGCGGAAGAUGUAACGGGGCUAAACCAUGCACCGAAGCUGCGGCAGCGACACUCAGGUGUUGUUGGGUAGGGGAGCGUUCUGUAAGCCUGCGAAGGUGUGUCGUGAGGCAUGCUGGAGGUAUCAGAAGUGCGAAUGCUGACAUAAGUAACGAUAAAGCGGGUGAAAAGCCCGCUCGCCGGAAGACCAAGGGUUCCUGUCCAACGUUAAUCGGGGCAGGGUGAGUCGACCCCUAAGGCGAGGCCGAAAGGCGUAGUCGAUGGGAAACGGGUUAAUAUUCCCGUACUUGGUGUUACUGCGAAGGGGGGACGGAGAAGGCUAUGUUGGCCGGGCGACGGUUGUCCCGGUUUAAGCGUGUAGGUGUGUGUUCCAGGUAAAUCCGGUU